AUGGCUCAGGACGAACGCUGGCGGCGUGCCUAACACAUGCAAGUCGAGCGGGGAUGAUGGAGAGCUUGCUCAAAAUCAUUCUAGCGGCGGACGGGUGAGUAACGCGUGAGCAACCUGCCUUCUACUGGGGAAUAACGCACCGAAAGGUGUGCUAAUACCGCAUGAGACCACAGGAUCGCAUGAUCCAGAGGUCAAAGAUUUAUCGGUAGAAGAUGGGCUCGCGUCUGAUUAGCUAGUUGGUGAGGUAACGGCCCACCAAGGCGACGAUCAGUAGCCGACCUGAGAGGGUGAUCGGCCACAUUGGAACUGAGAAACGGUCCAAACUCCUACGGGAGGCAGCAGUGGGGAAUAUUGGGCAAUGGGCGCAAGCCUGACCCAGCAACGCCGCGUGAAGGAAGAAGGUCUUCGGAUCGUAAACUUCUAUCCUUGGUGAAGAUAAUGACGGUAGCCAAGAAGGAAGCCCCGGCUAACUACGUG
rnacentral:rRNA from 1 species